UCUCGAGUAACAUUUGGACAUUUCAUUUUUUAAGUUCUUUUUAGCCUAAUUAAAUCUAGGAGUUCCCACUAGCAAUUUGGAAUUGGCUAAAAACCAUAUAAGAUGCAGGAGGCUUGACUCAUUUCCUACGCAACUAGAGAUUCUAAAUACAAGAACUUGAUUACGCUAAUAUUUAUAUCAAUGCCCUUUUGGUGCCUCUAACUCGGAAGGUCGUUGCCUAAGUGGUUAUGCAUUGUUUUUACCAUUUUACUCUUUUUGCAUUUUUCCUCUUACCUUCUGCCUUUUAUUCUAUUAUUUCUUUUGUCCCCAUCAUCUUCCUCCUUCCUCAGAUGGACGAGCCUCUGCCCUGGACUUCUCAGAACUUCCAUCGAUAAAACCCCAAAGGUGCAUUAAACCAAACCUACUCCCGCAAAUCUUGUCACUGGCAACAAUUGCUAACCUCCGAUCAUCAAACGAAAUGCCGUUACUGGACCACCACAGUCAACCACUCCCGGCCACCGAAAUUUAUCAUCGCCGGCCACCCCAUGAAGUAGGGCAAGGCACAGAACAGAUGGAAAGGAAGUGGACGCAGCAACACUCCCAGAAACGACGCAAUAUGGCAGAAAAUGUGAUGUUCAACAACCAUUAAGCAGGCGUCUUAUCACGCAAAACAUAUAGAUAAGCACUCAAGGUAAUUUACAAUCGGGAACAAACUGACACGGAUUCGGUUCCUGCAUUUCGUCGGCAUGCAGCGGAAGUGGGCUGAGGAGAAGGUAUUGACCAUUUUUAGACCUUGAACUCGGAUCUAGACCCAAAGAAAUCAUCAAGAAACACUCGAAAUCAGCCAUAUCAACUCACUCGAACCCAGCGAAUGGAUCAGAAAAAAAUACCAGUCUCGGCCUCCGAUUGGACCAAAAGAGGGCGACGGUUCAUGGGAACGGGGUUUAACCGCUAAGACUCCUACCCGGCUCGAAGCCGACGGCCAUAGUAUGAUUUCGGGACGAGUGAGACUACAGCCGGUUGCCUCCCUUCGUCUCCGAGCCGCAAUCCUCAGAUUAAGGAACUCGAACCGAGCAACUAAAGAAACUCACCUGAAAUGCUGAGAAUCAGGAGAGAGAAGUAGUGAGAAACGACGCCAGCUGGAGGUUGUUGGACGGUGGCAGUGGAAGUGGCCGGUCGGGUGAGGUCCAAAGAGAAAGAGACCCAAAGAGACAAGCAAAGGGAGAUGCGGGACUGAGAGGAGGAGGCGACAAAUGGCUCGGUGAGGGGGCGCCCGUAAUGGCUGCGACUGGUGGUAGCGACUGAGGCUAUGGACGGAGGAGGGUGGUCGACGGUGGUUGAGGUAAGGGGGAAUGGAGAAGAAAAAAGUGCGUGAGAUUUAGAACCAAAAAAAGAGAGUGCGCCUGAGGAUGGAGAUGAGCAAAAAGAAGACCCCGUUUUCUCUUUUCC
rnacentral:lncRNA from 1 species